GGAGCCAUCAGUGUUAAGAGGAAGGAGCUCUUUAGCACAGAGUUACACUUUCAGUCUUGAGCAGAUUUUACUUCCAACACAAGGACAACAUUAUUUUUCGGUUCACAGUGAAACUUUACCAUGGAUCAGAGCGCGGUCAAGCGAACAUGAAUCACGACGGAAUGUCAACCAGCAGGUUUCGCUGCCGUCGACUCCACUGAGACACUGGCAUCAAGACACCCGUGGAUACACACCUCCGACUAUCAGUGCUGAGGUCAGGAUCAGAGAGAGAUGAAAGCACCAUUUAAAUGAGCACCUCACUGCUGGAGCGCUGACUUCUGACCCCUGACCCUCAACCACACGACCCCACCCUCCAGCAGUUCCACGACUUGCAGCAAGGACAAAAGGAGAAAAUGACCAUCAGUGGGUCAUGGGGAGCACUAUGAAGACCUCAGGAGUCCCAACAGGGGCGGCAGUGAUGUCACAGAUGAGGUCACCAUUUAGGUCACCCACGGCGCCGAUGCUCCCACGAUAGCUGCAGGUAAUUAUGAUGUCAUUGACAUUAUGCAUCAACGAACACAUGCUCAUGUAUUCACAGGUCCAGCCGGGUUUCAAGCGUUUUAUAACACCUUGGCCACCAGAAGCAGCCGUAACUCAGAAAAAAAAACCCUAAGAAAAACACUUAAAUAUUAUAAUAGGUCUUGGUAUAUGUAUUUGAUUAAAAUGUAAAAAUUUAAGGUAAUUAUACGAUAUUUUACUCCGGUUUAUCACUUCCAGCCAGAACCUCAAUGACGUCAUGCAUCAAGGCAACACUGUGUGCGUUUGUUUACGUACAAGCAGAACCAUUGGCGCCCGAACUGAUGUAUCAUGCAUGGCUAAUGUCUCCACAGUGUAAAAAGAUGGACCACUGUAAACAGGUGGAGACAAGAAACAAGCUAAUGUGCGGGUAGCAUACAGCGCCAGUUUCCUGCAGACCACUUUGCACGUCAAAUGCUGAAGGCUACGUGGCGUCAACCCGACUGCAGCGAGCUGUUGCUUCUCCGAUUUAACACAGAGUAAAUGUUAUCAACAGUAAGCCCAUCAAGCAUUUGAGUGGCACAUUGGCUUGUUAUACGCACAUUUUCCUGGUGGAAUAAGUCUGAAAAGACGGGUCAUCUUAAAUUUCUCCAGUUAUCAAUGCAAACAAACAGGUGAUACAAAACAACUUCUCUCUCAGCAAAUUACAGUUUUUCUCAUUUUUGAUGAAAUGCAAACACCGUGAUGUCGGAUGAAACCUGGAAAGAUGUAGCUGUGACUGUAAUUGUAAUUGUUGGUUACAACAUUAAGUACCAUGCUAACCUCUGAUCACCCACUUCAAUGGUCUUGUGAUUUUCAACAAAACUGUUUUCAGUCUGUUACUAAUGUUUGCAUGGAAAAAAUAAUGAUAAUAAUGCCAUCCUAUUAGUAUUCCUGGAGUGCCAAAGUAACAUCCACACGGCAGACGUUUAUCCAUGAAAAUAUGGGUAAGCUGCCGAAUGGUCUGCCCGACACAUUUCAGUUUGUUCUUCUCUUGAGACUCUACAAACUGGAUGAGCAAGCAUUAGCAUAUUAGCAUCAUUGAGUUUUAUGCAGCUCAAUUUUUGUUUCAUCUGACCACAGAACUUUCCUCCAUGAGGUCUUAUCAUUGUCCCUUUUAUGUCGGAUGAAACAAAAAUUGAGCUGUUUGGCCACAAUACCCAGCAAUAUGUUUGGAGGAGAAAAACUGAGGUCUUUAAUCCCAAUGGAACUGGUGCUUUACAGAAAGUAACUGGGACAAUGAAAAAGGAGGAUUACCUCCAAAUUAUUCAGGACAACCUAAAGUCGUCACCCCGGAGGUUGGGUCUUGAGCACAGUUGGGUGUACCAACAGGACAAUGACCCCAAACACACGUCAAAAGUGGUAAAGGAAUGGCUGAAUCAGGCAAGAUUUUAAAAUUUUAGAAUGGCCUUCCAAAAAGUAUCAAUCAAUCAAUUAAUCAAUGUUUAUUUAUAUAGCCCUAAAUCACAAAUGUCUCAAAGGACUGUACAAACUACUACAACUACGACAUCCUCGGAAGAACCCACAUAAGGGCAAGGAAAACUCACACCCAGUGGGACGCCAGUGACAAUGAUGACUAUGAGAAACUUGGAGAGGACCUCAUAUGUGGGCAACCCCUCCCUCCCUACUUACUUAAACAUGUGGACAAUGCUGAAGAAACAAGUCCAUGUCAAAAAAACAACACAUUAGCUAAACUGCACCAAUUUUGUCAAAAAGAGUGGUCAAAAAUUCAACCAGAAGCUUGUUGAUGGCUACCAAAAGCACCUUAUUGCAGUGAAAAUUGCCAAGGGACAUGAAACCAAAUUUUACCCUUGUCUUACGUUAGGAGGCUAAGUUACCUGUUAAGAUCCGCUGCUCGGAUCUUAAUUUAUUUGGUUUUCUGGUAAUUUGUGUUUAUCUUCUUGAUUCAUGGACGCUUCAGAGUCUUACUUUGUGUACUCCCUGAUUUGUUUUUGUCACCAUGGCGACUUGAUUUGUUCACCUGCCUUUGUUUGCACACCUGGUUUUGAUUAGUGACUCUAUAUUAACCCACCUGUUUCAUUUACUCGUCCUGGUCUCGUCAAGUUUCCUACACUCUUUUCAAUGUCUUCGUGGACUCCUAACUUUGGUAAUAAUCCGUUUUGAUACUUGCUAGCUUCCAUGCCUAGCCUCUUUGUGUUCUAAGUGUUUACUCGCUAAUGCUUUCGCGCUUAGCCACCUUCUGUUUCCCUAGCUCACACGCUAGUAGAUGUUUGUUUGCCUUUUCUCUUAGCACAAGGGUUUUUUGUUAUUAGUCUGUUUGUAGUUAAAUAAAUCUGUUUUCUUACCUGUACGCUGUGUCAUUGCCCGACUGCAUCUUGGAAGAAGCACCCCUUGCGCACGAUGCCACGAAGAC